rnacentral:lncRNA from 1 species
CCGCAGGGCAUCUGAGGCGGAUGACGGGGAGUAGCGACCCCGCGGGGCUAUAUAUCCGAGUGCUCCAGGGAGAGUAUACUGUCCCCCAUCUCCGGCUUGCCGGAGUGAAGCAUGACGGGGGAUAGGUCUCCCGCCUCUUGGCUUGCCUUCAUCGGCCGGUCAGAGUGGAGUCGCUAGAGCAAGGUUAGUCCUGCUCGGAGGGUAGGUGCCUCGUGGUAAGUGGCGAGUGGGCCGGUGAUGCUGGACCCACAGGGAGCGCGUGAUCUGCGUUUAAAGUCCGCCGAGGUAUUCUCACCCUUCUCAGCCGCUCAUGUCCCUGUUGCCCUCUUGUUGCUUUUCAGUGACUGAUUCCCGGGGGCCCAGUAAGUGAGUUGGCGAGUCUCCACCUGCCAUUUUUACGUGUGCAAACAUUGUUAUCGGCAGGUGCCAUAGUUCCCGUAGUUUCCCCAUCCCUAAUCCAUUAGCAUCCCAUCACAAUAGCCCAAGUAGUUUUCAUCCAUAGUUAGCAAUAGUUUAGCACAGAACCGGGGAUUGUCCUUGGGUACAUUUCUAUAGUGUAUACAGGGAUAAUCGUCGGUUUUGUGUCACCAUUUCAUUAAAGUUGUCUCAAAAGGGCUUCAGCGUGUUGGCUUCGGCCCCACGUUCGCCUCCCAAAAAUCCGGGACUCUAUAGUCCCGAGGUCUGGUAGAGACAUACAUAUAUAAUAAUAAUAA